CUACGGGGGGCUCCAGUGGGGAAUAUUGCACAAUGGGGGAAACCCUGAUGCAGCAACGCCGCGUGGAGGAUGACACAUUUCGGUGCGUAAACUCCUUUUAUAGGUCAAGAUAAUGACGGUAGCCUAUGAAUAAGCGCCGGCUAACUCCGUGCCAGCAGCCGCGGUAAUACGGAGGGCGCAAGCGUUACUCGGAAUCACUGGGCGUAAAGAGCAUGUAGGCGGGUUAAUAAGUCAGAAGUGAAAUCCAAUAGCUCAACUAUUGAACUGCUUUUGAAACUGUUAACCUAGAGUGUGGGAGAGGUAGAUGGAAUUUCUGGUGUAGGGGUAAAAUGCGUAGAGAUCAGAAGGAAUACCGAUUGCGAAGGCGAUCUACUGGAACAUUACUGACGCUGAGAUGCGGAAGCGUGGGGAGCAAACAGGAUUAGAUACCCUCGUAGUC
rnacentral:rRNA from 1 species